AGAUUGAACGCUGGCGGCAGGCCUAACACAUGCAAGUCGAGCGGCAGCACGGGUACUUGUACCUGGUGGCGAGCGGCGGACGGGUGAGUAAUGCCUAGGAAUCUGCCUGGUAGUGGGGGAUAACGCUCGGAAACGGACGCUAAUACCGCAUACGUCCUACGGGAGAAAGCAGGGGACCUUCGGGCCUUGCGCUAUCAGAUGAGCCUAGGUCGGAUUAGCUAGUGGUGAGGUAAUGGCUCACCAAGGCGACGAUCCGUAACUGGUCUGAGAGGAUGAUCAGUCACACUGAACUGAGACACGGUCCAGACUCCGUACGGGAGCAGCAGUGGGAAUA
rnacentral:rRNA from 1 species